UUCAACACUCGUUAAACGCACCGUGACAACACUUAAAAAUUGUUAUCAAUCAAUUACAAUAACAACACUGGAAACUGAAAAACAACAAAAAAAAAGCUCUAAAGUAUAUUUCCUUUAUGUGUUGCUUCUUCCAACCGCAUUGCGAUUAGUUUGCGCUUAAUUGCCAGCCACAGCAGUUCUUCGUGUUUAUCUGCUCUUUGCCUAUUUAUGACGAGCACCGUUUUGCGGCUCAUUUGAAUCAAGUGUGGCAAAUUUGAAGACAACGACAACAACAACAAGAACAACAACAGCAGCACCGGCCACCGCCUACGUCUGCGCCGCCCACUCAGCAGCUGUUCAAAGAGUUGUGUGCGCUCUCUGUUAUUUAAACGAGAGUGGUGGAGAUGUGGCCAAUGGGACUUUCGGCUUUCUGGGCAUAGCGUUAAAGAGGAGUUGAAACGUAAACAAAAAAAAAGUUUACCAGACAGUUUCCAUUUGGCUGAGCUUUUUUUGACAGCUGGAGGCUGCGACUUUUUUUCAUAUGUAUAAGAAACAUUCCAAUUGGAUACGUUCACCUGCAGCUCCAGGCCCUUUUACACCCUGUAUUGCGGCACAACAAAUUGCGUAUCAUACACAAAUCUGUUCGCACACACAUAAAAUGUAUGUAUUUACCAAGUGGCCGCUGUGUAUAUUCCAAAGAAUCGCCAAGAAUAUUCGAAAAUAAUCAAGCGAGCAAACAGAAACAGAAGCAAAAAGUUGAAAUGAAACCAUGAAAAAUCAAAAACACACGCUAAACCAAAGGCAAAACGAUGGCUAGUAAAAUACAAAUAAUAAAGAGAAACUGAAAUUUUCCGAACCAAC